AGAGUUUGAUCCUGGCUCAGGACGAACGCUGGCGGCGCGCUUAACACAUGCAGUUCGAACGGGGUACCCUUGACGGCGGCUUCGGGUCCAACGGAUAGGAAUACCUAGUGGCGGACGGGUGCGUAACACGUGAGUAACCUGCCCUUGGGGAGGGGGAUAACAUACCGAAAGGUAUGCUAAUACCGCAUAACAUAUUUUCUUCGCAUGGAGGAAAUAUCAAAGAUUUAUCGCCCAAGGAUGGACUCGCGGCCGAUUAGCUAGUUGGUGAGGUAAUGGCUCACCAAGGCGACGAUCGGUAGCCGGACUGAGAGGUUGACCGGCCACAUUGGGACUGAGACACGGCCCAGACUCCUACGGGAGGCAGCAGUGGGGAAUAUUGCGCAAUGGGGGAAACCCUGACGCAGCGACGCCGCGUGAAGGAAGAAGGUUUUCGGAUCGUAAACUUUUGUCUUUGGGGACGAGAACGGACGGUACCCAAGGAGGAAGCCACGGCUAACUACGUGCCAGCAGCCGCGGU
rnacentral:rRNA from 1 species